AAACUGUGAUGGGGACACUUCAAAAGCAACCCAUUAAAUCUCUCCCAAGCUUCCCAGUAUUGUUCAUCCUCCUUUUGUGAAAACUCAGAAAUUUCCAUGCGAAU